ACACAUGCAAGUCGAACGAGAAUCUACUGAAAGAGUUUUCGGACAAUGGAUGUAGAGGAAAGUGGCGGACGGGUGAGUAACGCGUGAGGAACCUGCCUUGAAGAGGGGGACAACAGUUGGAAACGACUGCUAAUACCGCAUGAUGCAUAGGGGUCGCAUGAUCUUUAUGCCAAAGAUUUAUCGCUUCAAGAUGGCCUCGCGUCUGAUUAGCUAGUUGGCGGGGUAACGGCCCACCAAGGCGACGAUCAGUAGCCGGACUGAGAGGUUGAACGGCCACAUUGGGACUGAGAUACGGCCCAGACUCCUACGGGAGGCAGCAGUGGGGAAUAUUGGGCAAUGGGCGCAAGCCUGACCCAGCAACGCCGCGUGAAGGAAGAAGGCUUUCGGGUUGUAAACUUCUUUUAAGAGGGAAGAGCAGAAGACGGUACCUCUAGAAUAAGCCACGGCUAACUACGUGCCAGCAGCCGCGGUAAUACGUAGGUGGCAAGCGUUGUCCGGAUUUACUGGGUGUAAAGGGCGUGCAGCCGGGUCUGCAAGUCAGAUGUGAAAUCCAUGGGCUCAACCCAUGAACUGCAUUUGAAACUGUAGAUCUUGAGUGUCGGAGGGGCAAUCGGAAUUCCUAGUGUAGCGGUGAAAUGCGUAGAUAUUAGGAGGAACACCAGUGGCGAAGGCGGAUUGCUGGACGAUAACUGACGGUGAGGCGCGAAAGUGUGGGGAGCAAACAGGAUUAGAUACCCUGGUAGUCCACACUGUAAACGAUGAAUACUAGGUGUGCGGGGACUGACCCCCUGCGUGCCGCAGUAAACACAAUAAGUAUUCCACCUGGGGAGUACGAUCGCAAGGUUGAAACUCAAAGGAAUUGACGGGGGCCCGCACAAGCGGUGGAUUAUGUGGUUU
rnacentral:rRNA from 1 species